GGAUUAGAUACCCUGGUAGUCCCAAUGCCGUAAACGUUGGGCACUAGGUGUGGGGUCCAUUCCACGGGUCCUGUGCCGUAGCAAACGCAUUAAGUGCCCCGCCUGGGGAGUACGGGCCGCAAGGCUAAAACUCAAAAGAAAUUGACGGGGGCCCGCGACAAGCGGCGGAGCAUGCGGAUUAAUUCGAUGCAACGCGAAGAACCUUACCAAGGCUUGACAUGCACCGGAAACAUCCAGAGAUGGGUGCCCCGUAAGGUCGGUGCACAGGUGGUGCAUGGUUGUCGUCAGCUCGUGUCGUGAGAUGUUGGGUUAAGUCCCGCAACG
rnacentral:rRNA from 1 species